UACAGUCUUUUUGUGGAAGAUGUUUAUUUUUGUUGCUGGACUGUGUUCCAACCCUGUUGAGGUGGACAUUGUUAUUUUUGUCUGGUUCAUUUUUCCUUGUUCAUUUCCUAUUUGGAUUUAUUGGAAUUAUGAAAAUAAACACCCUACUCCGUAUCUGUGGUCUCCUGCGCCUGACUUCAUCCCAUCACUCUAGCUUCCCAGCAGCCCACCACCAUCCUACAGCAGCUCCCUGCUGCCAUGUCAUCUCCCACUCCUUCCAUCCGGCCAGGACACGUCAAGCAGGGAGGAGGAGGAUCCAGAGGUGUACCACUACCAUUACCAGCCUACCCCGGCCUACCUGCCCUACCCUACCUGGUUGCCUCCACCCCAGCCUCACCCUAGCCUGGUCUACCACAACACUGCUGAACCCCUGGAGCUAGCACCCUCCCCACACAGA